UGGAUACGAUUCCAGAGAGAUUGAAUAACAAACACAAAAUCCUGGGGGUCAGGCAACAUCUAUGGAGAGGAAUAAACAGCCAACAUUUCAGGCUGAAACACUUCAUCAGGACUGGAAAGGAAAGGGGCAGAAGUCAGAAUAAAAAGCCAAUAAGGAAUCUCCGUGAUCUUCUUAGUCCAGGACCAGCCUGUUGGCUCAGGGUGUCUGACACUCUGAGGGAGGAGUUGUAAAGUUUGAUGGCCACAGGUGGAGCGGUGGUGCUUGACAAAGCAGUUCCCCAAUCCACGUUGGGACUCUCCAAUGUACAGCAGAUUGUAUUGGGAGUACCAGAUACAGUAGAUGACCCCCACAGAU